rnacentral:rRNA from 1 species
AUUGAACGCUGGCGGAAUGCUUUACACAUGCAAGUCGAGCGGCAGCGCGGGGGCAACCCUGGCGGCGAGCGGCGAACGGGUGAGUAAUACAUCGGAACGUGUCCUUAAGUGGGGGAUAGCUCGGCGAAAGCCGGAUUAAUACCGCAUAAGCUCUGAGGAGGAAAGCGGGGGCUCCGUAAGGACCUCGCGCUGUUGGAGCGGCCGAUGUCGGAUUAGCUAGUUGGUGGGGUAAAGGCCCACCAAGGCGACGAUCCGUAGCUGGUCUGAGAGGAUGAUCAGCCACACUGGAACUGAGACACGGUCCAGACUCCUACGGGAGGCAGCAGUGGGGAAUUUUGGACAAUGGGGGCAACCCUGAUCCAGCCAUGCCGCGUGAGUGAAGAAGG